CUCCAUCAUGGUCACCAUCCCAUCAUGGUCACCAUCCCAUCAACAUCUCCAUCAAUGUCACCAUCCCAUCAACGUCUCCAUCAUUGUCCCCAUCCCAUCAAGGUUCUCAUUCCAUCUUCUCUCCAUCCCAUCAAUGUCUCCAUCCCAUGAAGUUCUUCAUCCCAUCAACAUCUCCAUCAAUGUCUCCAUCCCAUCAACAUCUCCAUCAUUGUCUCCAACCCAUAAAAGUUCUCAUCCCAUCAAUGUCUCCAUCACAUGAAGUUCUUCAUCCCAUCAACAUCUCCAUCUUUGUCUCCAUCCCAUCAACGUCUCCAUGCCAUCAAUGUCUCCAUCCCAUCAUGUCCAUCCCAUCAUCUCCAUCCCAUCAUCUCCAUCCCAUCAAUGUCUCCCUCAAAGUCACCGUCCCACCACCGUCUCCAUCCCAUCACCACCCUAAGCCUGACCAUCAUCAUCAUCACCUUGACCAUCACCUUGACCAUGUCCAUGACCAUCACUUGACCAUCACCAUGUCCAUCACCGUCACCUUGACCAUGGCUAAGACCAUGAUGGCCAUGCCUGGAGAAUGGCCAGGUGACCACUGUGGGGUUGACCAACGUCGGUUUUGGGUCCACCACCUCACAUCCACUUUGGGGCCACCACCAACAUCAAUUUUGGGGCCACCACCCAACGUCCGUAUUGAGGUUCACCAACGUUGA
rnacentral:lncRNA from 1 species